rnacentral:lncRNA from 13 species
CUGGUUUCAUUGGUAUGUUGCUGCAACCUGAGACAUAGAUGUCAUCUUCCUGGUACAGAUGGAAAGAAGGCCAGAUCUGGCUCCUCCUUACUGGAAACAAACAACCUUGACCCCACUGUUGACAACGUUUCCUUGCCUCCAACUCCCAGCCUGUCACUUUGAUGGCCCAGGUAGUUUUCUAUGGCAAUGCAGACCAGGUACGGAAACCCAGGCACAGAGAAGUGAAUGGAUUUGCCUAAAGUCACAAAUGCAGCAAAUAGUAGAACCAGCAGCUCAGUCCCUAGUCUGUGACUCCAAAUCCACACAUUUAAAGGUACUGUACCAGAGCCACUAUGUUAUGCAUAUUGCAAGGUGAAGAUUUUCCAACAACAAA